GCGUCCUUCGUGUAGUGAUAGCACCUAUACUGUUUGUAAAUGUAGACUCCCUCUUAGGAUGAGACCCGAGUUCGACUCCCCGAGGGUGCA